rnacentral:lncRNA from 1 species
UUCUCACGAGAUCUCAUGGUUUUAUAAAUGGCGGUUUCGGCUUUUUGGUCUUUCCUGCUGCCUUGUGAAGAAGGUGCUUGUUUCUUCUUUGCCUUCUGCCAUGAUUGCCAUGUGAAUCGCACCCCUGGAACUGUGCAGGGCCCACCUGUGUGGCCACACGCAGUGACCCUGAGCAAAGGAGUGACCACAGAAGUGCAUGGCAAAGCAGAAAGGUGUGACGUCUUGGAGGACGCGGGAGGAAAGCACGCCCAGCGGACAGGAGCCAUCACGCGGCUGCGGGCUGCUGCUGAGAACCUGGCGUGGGCCACCGUCGUCAGCAGCGUGGAGGUAACUGACGACCUUGGCCAAGAAGUUGGGUGGCAGCGUGGAGGUCAUGCUCAGAGAACGCAUAUGCUGCCUCCUUUCUGAUAGGGAGACCCACCCACCUGUUCACCUCUCUGCAUGUGGUCUGCGAGCGGGCUUGGAGCCACAUCUGAAGCCUCACCUCUAGGAGCCAGUUUUGUCUCCUCCUCGUCCCUGCUUCUUAUCAGUCGUGCGGCUGGAUGGCAGAGGUGAUAAAGCUGGGAAGAGAGGCAUCCUGGAAGGGCCCGUGUUAUGAAAACCCAGAGUUUCACUCAGAUCGACAGCUGCGUGGGGGCCGGCGCUCCCGGCAGUGAUUGAGUUACCCUCAGCAGCGGGGUCCCGAGGUCGCAAUCCCUGCUGGGGGAGUGAUUGAUGCCGGACUCCAGGGCCCACCUUGGGUGACCCUGGGAUGUCAAUGAGUGACCGCUGAUUCUGGGCCACUUGGUUCUGGGCCACCCGCAUGUCCAGAGACCUCAAGGUGGGCCGACGUCCAACCAGCGAAGCAGAGCAAUCCUUUUGGAAGCUUCUCUCCACGGGGGGCUGGCUGCUCCUUCAUCACUCCCAUCUGAGGGCUUCUGCUUGCAGCCGUCUGUCACGCUGAGCAGCUCUGUGGUGGAUUCUGUGCUGCUUGCUCUGUGUCUAUUUUGUCAAGAUCGCCAGUCUCUCUGGAUUCUCUCCUCUGGGUUGGCCCACGCUCACUCAUCCGGCUUUGGAAGGACAUUUAUCCUCUAGCUUCCUCCAGGAGGGGGAUUUGUCUUAGAGAGUGGCACUUUCUCUUCCCUCCCCAGCCCCUCGUGCACCUUCUGCAGGGAGGGGAGUCCCCUGGUGCUGAGAGGAGAGGUAGGAGAGCCAGGUAGGGCCUGUGGGAGCCCAGCAGAGGUGCCCUGGCCACCUUGAGUGUCUGAGACUCACGGUCUAUUAAAAAUGGAAAAACAAACUGGGCACCGUGGCUCCUACCUGUAAUUCCAGCACUUUGGGAGGCUGAGGCGGGUGGAUCACUUGAGGUCAGGAGUUCAAGACCAGCCUGACCAAUGUGGUGAAACCUUGUCUCUACUAAAAAUACAAAAGUUAGCUGGGUUUGGUGGUACACACCUGUAAUCCCAGCUACUUGGGAGGCAGAGGCAGGAGAAUCGCUUGGACCUGGAAGGUGGAAGUUGCAGUGAGCAGAGAUUGUGCCACUGCACUCCAGCCUGGGUGACAGAGUGAGACUCUUGUCUCAAAAAAAAAAAACAAACAGAAAAAGAAAAAAGAAAAAAAGGAAAAACAACAAAGUUAGCGCUGAGCAGGGUUUCAGGAUUCUAGACCUGGUUUAAAAUGCAUUGCAUGGAAUAACCUGUUUAAUCUGCAAGUUAACUCUCUGAUACAGCGAGUGGUAUUAUCACAAUUUUGACAAGAUAAAGGCACAAAACAAGAUUUAAGAUUUUUUUUUUAAAAAAGGACAGACACCCAUUAAUUCUAAAUAAUUAAAGAUCAAUUCAUUAUGUACACAUACCGUUGACCCCUGAACAGCGUGGGUUUGUACUGGCUGGGUCCGUUUAUAUGUGGAUUUUCCUCUGCCUCUGCCACCCCUGAGACAGCAAGACCAACCCCUCCUCUUCCUUUUCCUCCUCCUCAGGUUCCUCAAUGUGAAGACGACAACGAUGAAGAUCUUUAUGGCUGGGUUCAGUUUUGGUGUCUCAACACCCGUAAUCUUAGCACUUUGGGAGGCCAAGGUGGAUGGAUGGCUUGAGCCCAAGAGUUUGAGACCAGCUUGAGCAAUGUAGUGAAACCCUAUCUCUACAAAAAACUAGCAGGGCGUGUGCCUGUAGUCCCAGUUACUCGGGAGGCUGAGGUGGGAGGACCUGAGCCCAGGGAGAUUGAGGCUGCAGUGAGCCCUGAUUGCGCCACUGCACUCCAGCCUGGGAGUGCGGUCUCAAAGAAAACCCAGUCUCAAGAAACAAAACAAAACAACCCAAAAAAGAUCUUAAGAUGAUCCACUUCUGCUUAAUGAUCAGUGAAUAUUUUUCCUUAUGAUUUUCUUAAUAACAUUUUCUUUUCUCUAGCUUACUUUAUUGUAAGAAUAUAGUAUAUACUUAUAAAACAGAUAAAA